rnacentral:lncRNA from 1 species
AGUUUCUUCGUGGUAACCGCCACCUGUAUUUGGUUGCUAUGUCGGUGGUUUAUUCUGGGCCACCCAUAAAAUGUAUGGAGACCGAAUUCCACUUUGGUAACGAAGAUCUCGUUGAGCACAAAGUAUAUUAUGACGAAAGGGAGCAGCUUCGGAAAAGGAACUUGUUAUUGCUUGGAGGUCGUGAGCAGUUCGGUGAUUGGAAGAACAAGUAAGUAUUG